rnacentral:rRNA from 1 species
UGCUAUACUGCAGUCGUACGCUUCUUUUUCCACCGGAGCUUGCUCCACCGGAAAAAGAAGAGUGGCGAACGGGUGAGUAACACGUGGGUAACCUGCCCAUCAGAAGGGGAUAACACUUGGAAACAGGUGCUAAUACCGUAUAACAAUCGAAACCGCAUGGUUUUGAUUUGAAAGGCGCUUUCGGGUGUCGCUGAUGGAUGGACCCGCGGUGCAUUAGCUAGUUGGUGAGGUAACGGCUCACCAAGGCCACGAUGCAUAGCCGACCUGAGAGGGUGAUCGGCCACAUUGGGACUGAGACACGGCCCAAACUCCUACGGGAGGCAGCAGUAGGGAAUCUUCGGCAAUGGACGAAAGUCUGACCGAGCAACGCCGCGUGAGUGAAGAAGGUUUUCGGAUCGUAAAACUCUGUUGUUAGAGAAGAACAAGGAUGAGAGUAACUGUUCAUCCCUUGACGGUAUCUAACCAGAAAGCCACGGCUAACUACGUGCCAGCAGCCGCGGUAAUACGUAGGUGGCAAGCGUUGUCCGGAUUUAUUGGGCGUAAAGCGAGCGCAGGCGGUUUCUUAAGUCUGAUGUGAAAGCCCCCGGCUCAACCGGGGAGGGUCAUUGGAAACUGGGAGACUUGAGUGCAGAAGAGGAGAGUGGAAUUCCAUGUGUAGCGGUGAAAUGCGUAGAUAUAUGGAGGAACACCAGUGGCGAAGGCGGCUCUCUGGUCUGUAACUGACGCUGAGGCUCGAAAGCGUGGGGAGCAAACAGGAUUAGAUACCCUGGUAGUCCACGCCGUAAACGAUGAGUGCUAAGUGUUGGAGGGUUUCCGCCCUUCAGUGCUGCAGCUAACGCAUUAAGCACUCCGCCUGGGGAGUACGACCGCAAGGUUGAAACUCAAAGGAAUUGACGGGGGC